ACGCGUAAUUAAUAUACUUAGUUCCAAAAGAAACGCGACAUUCAUGUUUGUUUUUGAAAUUUCCAUUAUUGUCUUAUCUACUUUACAAUCAUAACGAAUGUGCAUGUUAUAUGUUCUUUGAAACCAUUUUUCGAAAUUAAACUUCUGAAACAAGACUUUUAACGAAACAACUGAAACUC